CAAAAGCUUGGUCCUGACUUUACUAUCAACUUUAGCUAAACUUACACAUGCAAGUAUCCGCCCCCCUGUGAGAAUGCCCUACAGUCCCCCGCCCGGGAACAAGGAGCUGGUAUCAGGCACAGUYCCCCACUCGCCCAUGACACCUUGCUUAGCCACACCCUCAAGGGAACUCAGCAGUGAUAGACAUUAAGCUAUAAGUGAAAACUUGACUUAGUCAAAGCUAAGAGGGCCGGUAAAACUCGUGCCAGCCACCGCGGUUAUACGAGAGACCCAAGUUGAUAGACACCGGCGUAAAGAGUGGUUAAGACAAGUUAAAUACUAAAGCCGAACACCCUCAAAGCUGUUAUACGCACCCGAAGGUAAGAAGACCAAUCACGAAAGUGGCUUUACCCCUGAACCACGAAAGCUAUGAUACA
rnacentral:rRNA from 1 species